rnacentral:rRNA from 1 species
GACGGAGGAUGCAAGUGUUAUCCGGAAUCACUGGGCGUAAAGCGUCUGUAGGUGGUUUAAUAAGUCAACAGUUAAAUCUUGAGGCUCAACCUCAAAAUCGCAGUCCAAACUAUUAGACUAGAGUAUAGUAGGGGUAAAGGGAAUUUCCAGUGGAGCGGUGAAAUGCGCAGAUAUCAGGAGGAACACCGAUUGCGAAGGCAGCUCGCUGGGACGUAACUGACGCUGAGACGCGAAAGCGUGGGGAGCAAACAGG